UAUAUACACACACACAUGUAUAUAAGCUUAUAUACAUAUAUAAGCUUACACACACACACCCAUAUUCUUCAUAUUCAGAGAAGACACCACUGAGGGAGAAAGUCACACAUGACUCUGUGUGUGGCCGUAAAGACCAGAGUGGGACCCACAAUCCCGGUCAUAUUGUAUGCACAAAAAGGUUGUCCCUUUUGUGUUGUCAUACUUUUUGUGUGUAGCACCUGGUGCUGUAGAUAUAACUAUAAAUACACAGUAUCCCACUUAAAAAAAGUGACUGAACAAAACAUUUAAAGUAAAUAGCUUUUAAAAGUAUUCUAGGGGUCUAUUUCACUUGCUAAAUAUCUAAGCAGAAAACAACAUUCCAAGAAUAGGGGGAAAAAUGUAUUGCUCAAGGGAAAGACUUUGAUUUGUAGCAUUUUGAACAACAGUAAGACUGCCACUGGUAUAUAGAUCUGUUCAAAGACAACAAUGGAGAAAAAGCCAUGGUACAAACCUGAUUCCCCACCCGUUGUUGCCUUGAAACCGCUGUCAGAACAAAGGAGAAGGUGAUGUAGAAAGGAGAGGCUCACAGAUCCCUUCAUUCUACUUGAAGGAAAAAAACCUUACUCUGCAGAGUCAAUUAAAAAAAUAAGCAGGAGAAAAUAGAAAAUAAGUUCUAUUUGGGGACAUUGGGAAAAUGUAAUAUGCAACUCUGCACUGCAUACUUUUAAUCCUUAAAAAUUGAAGUGUUCAGCAAGAGGCUCACUGCAAUAGCUGCAGUGUUUAGUUAAACUUACAGUCAUGCACAAAUAUUGCAUAUUUUACAUAAGCUUAACUUAUAGUCCAGUAAAAAUAAUAGAAUAUGGAGUCUAGUUCUUCUCUGCCCACUCAUGGGAGUCUAACUUCAGAGGGUUUAGGAGAGGGAAUGCAUUAUAAACAGCAAUUUUUGAGGGACAGAAAAGCCCGAUAAAGCAGGGGCUGCUUUGAGACUGAAGUCAAAUGGGACCUACUCUCAGACAACGCUCACAAGCGUAACACUGGAAUUUUAAUGAUUGUUGUUUAAAUUGUUUGUAUGCAGAGGUAAGCCAAGCCAAAAUCUUGUAGAAGACUACAGUUUUCCACAAUAGGUGAAUAGUGAAGGUGGCUGAAAUAGACGCUGUUGCUCUGAAAAUCAAAGUAAUUCACAAACAAGACAGAGCUUGGGAUGAAACCACUCUCCCACCACACAAAAUGAGAAAUGCAAUAAGAAGAAUUUACAAAAAGGACCUAGAUAAAUCACUGUAGGUCUUGAGGGUCAAAGGUUAAGUCAUACAUUUCUCAAAUGCCCAACAGGCAAGUCAGUCUUCUCAGGUCCUUCAAGUGGCAAUUCUGCAAAUAUUAAAACAAGGAUUCCUAAUUAACUUACUUAGAUGUUCAGAACACAAUGAUCUAAAUCAUUAACAUAAUGGGUAUGAUCCAUGCUUGGUAAACUAGCAUUUUCUUUUGGGCUAUCCUUAGUACAUACCUCUCAAUCAAGUCUACCUCAAAUUACCAGAUAUCACAUAUGGGUAAUAGAAAGAGCAUGGAUAUUUGAAAUCUAUAGCUAAUUCCCAAAACAACCAAAAAGAUUAGGGUGCUGCAGUCUGGGAAGACAAAGGUGGAAAGGGGGCAGGAUUGAAGCUUAAAAUUCAGGAAAGGUGUGGGCAGGGCAGAAUAGGAAACUGUUAUUUACCAAAUCCUAUGCCACCAGGACAAGAGCACGCCCAUGGAAGAUCAACGAUGGGAGCUUCAAAACAAAAAGAAACAGUUCUUUUCACAAAGUUCAACUACCAGAUACAGAGCCAAAGAGCAAUAAACCUCACAACUGUGCAAAGAAAACAUCAACAGGAAAUGAAAUGAGGUAUAAAUACAGACACUGAAGUCUGAGUUUCCUUUGGGUUAUGUGCAUUAAAUAUACCUUCUAAUUUCUAUAAAGCUUAUGAAAAUUUCAAGGACAGUCUAACCAAGUGCUCAAGUCUUAACAGGUGAUUUGCCCAUGGGGUUGGGAAAUCAUAUUCUGUUCUGAAUAUGGCAUGUUCCUAACUCACAUUUGCGGAGGUAUGCGAGGGGAUAAGUAAGCUAGAAAGAAUAAUAUAUCAAAAGGUGAGUUUCACGCCAGAUCUGGCAAUCACUCACCUGCUCAUCUUGGUACCCCGCUUUCCGCUCAGCAGCGGCUCCCUAACUACCACCUGGAAGAAUCCAGCUCGGUCGUCACUCUUCGGACAGUGGCGUCUCCGACUUCAUCUUUAUUCCCAUCCUGCACUCUAUCUUCCAAUUUCAAGCCUUGAGCUGACUGUUCCAGCACCACUCUGAAUGUCAAAUCCAUCUAGCCGCUGCCUCAGUUCUUUGCUACCUGACCCCUUAAUUCACUGUCCAGAGGGCAAGAGAAUUCGAUUUAACGGUGCGUGGCUAAGGGAGAUAGGGAGAGAUACUGAAAUAAUAGCCGGAGGGUGGAUGGAAGAGAGACCGUUAUUCCUCAAGUCAGAAAGGCGCCAGGGUCUGCUUAUUGGAAAUGAAACGUCAUUGUUUUUCCUUACCUAAACCAGUGCAAAACUUGCCCCCUUAGAAUGUGUCAGAAAAGUUAUCGCCUCCUGUAGAUAAAUCUUUUUCUGUUAUCUCCUAAUGCUCUCAUUAGCAAAGUUUCUCAUUCUAUUGCUAUUCGUGCCAUCUCAAUAACGUAUAAAACACUAAUACCUCGCUGCUUUGAUCUGCAUUGCUUUUGCUGGAGAAAUCAUUAAUACUGAAACUACCAAGUCGCAAAAAUAUAUGCAUUCAAUAUUCUCACUGUCAGAGUUUAAGAUAGAAUUCCAUGCCUGAAGACAGAAGUCAAAAUUGAAAUAAAACGUACACAAAUAUAUGCAUGGUUGAGCCCGGUUAAGUGAAGAGAUUUCUCUAGCAGUAGCGAUGGAAAUGGAUUUAUCCAUCGCAAUAGGGGACGAAAGAGCUCGAAGUAGACAAAUAGGUUCCCCAUUUUCUUUAGAAUUUAUUUUACAUUUUAUAUCUUUCCAAUGAAAAACUUCCUCUUCUCUAUGUAAAUGUUCUCUAGUGGGUCUUGUGGCAACAGGAGAUCAUUACAAAGUACAGAUCACUUUUGGAGUGGAGUUCGGUUCUGCACCGAGCACAUUUGAACAUAUAUAAAAAAAACCCCAAGUCAUAUAAGUUUUCCUGAUCCUGACCACUGUGGAAUUUGAACAGGAAUCCUCAAAAAGCAGAGGGGAAUUGGAGAUUAACUCUAGACUGCUCUUCCCACCAAAAUGACAGAUUUAAUUUUUUCGUUAUCAUAGGCUUUUUAAAUGACUGAAAAGAUCAAAAUAUUCAGAUUAAAUAAAGAACUACGAACAAGAGACCGAAAGUUGAGGUCAGAAAAAUCAGGGGCAAGGUAUUAUGACAGAUUUUUUUCAGAUCACAAACUGUUGGAUAGCAGAAUGGAUGGGUUCUAAGCACAAGCCUGAUUUUCCUUUUCCCUAUCAGAUGACUUAAGCCUUCCAAUGACUAAACAACGUUUCCUUCUACUCUGUACUCACUCUUGUCCAUUAGCCACACCAUCACUCAGAAACCCAACGCAGGCCCUCUCUGCUUCUAAAAGAUGUGGCCUGGAGGCAAACCUAAAAGAAUAUUUGACAACAAUUGAUUUUUUUUUUUUUUAACAUCUUUGCAUUUCUUAAGGCAUGGACAAUGUCAUAUGAAUGGAUUAGGAUUCCAAAGAGCACGAGACAUCUUUUGGGCAAGGCCAGUGCAAACACAUCAAUCACAUCAAGGGACAGACAAACCGCAAGCCAAACUGACCAACUGUUCAACACGCAGGAGGUUUUAUCCAAGCCUCAUCUCUCCUGGGCAAGUGAUUGCACUGAGACGUUUCCGCACAGAUACACUUUAACGCUCCCCGUCGGCUUUAAAGCGCGAGUUUCCAAUUCGCUUUUCUCUACCGAUUCUUCUGACUUUGGAUUAUUUGGAUUGGUUCCUUUGACUCUGCAUUCCCAGCUCGAGGACCACUUUAAGGAAUAUGGCUGCAGCACAAACAGAAGGAUCCAGGAGUGGGGAGGGACCUGGCCUAAUGCACUUUUGAAAAUCCAUUAUAAAGAUGAAUAUAAAAGCAAAUGGUAGGUUUUCUGGAGACCCACAAACCACAUUUAGCUAUAAGAAACAUAAUUGUGCAUAGUUAUUCGUUCGAAGAGUGAUAUGUUUACUAGGUCUACAUUCGCAGUUUACCAAAGCACAGGGCUUUCUACUUUACUAAAGCCGGGCUCCUUCCGCAGCCCCCAGUACGUGUCAUUGGAAACCCAAGCUUCUCUUUGAUUGGCGUCGGUGACUUUUCUGUCAAAAUAUGAAAAUAAACAUUAGGG